rnacentral:rRNA from 1 species
GAUGAACGCUAGCUGCAGGCUUAACACAUGCAAGUCGAGGGACGGGCGCACGGGUGAGUAACACGUAUCCAACGUGCACUUUACUCGCAGAUAGCCUUUAGAAAGGAAGAUUAAUACCCGAAAUAAAGGAGGGGGAUGCGUUCCAUUAGGUUGUUGGUGAGGGAACGGCUCACCAAGACUUCGAUGGAUAGGGGUUCUGAGAGGAAGGUCCCCCACAGUUGAACCGCGACCCGGUCCAAACUCCUAGGGGAGGCAGCAGUGUGGAAUACUGUGCACUGGGCGCUAGCCGGAACCAGCCAAGUAGCUGGAAGGAUGAAGGGUUAUGGGUCGUAAAUUUCUUUUAUAUAAGAAUCUGUAUUAUAUGAAUAAGGAUCGGCUAACUCCGUGCCAGCAGCCGCGGUAAUUC